CUUUUCUCUCAGCCUUUCCCCAGCCUUAGUCUUUUCUGUCCCUCUGUCCUAUCUAUCCCAGGACCCCUGGCUUCCCUCAUCAUCUGUCUGUGGCUAUCUGUCCCACAGGGCAGAACUGUAGGACUGAGGAUCCAUUAUUGUCCUGGGCUGACUUCACUAAGGUAACUCCCUGAAUCCUGUGGAGCUAGAUCUAGCCCACAUUCCAAAUACUGGCCUUCCCAUGUCCCUCCUUCCCUACACCAGGGGCAACCCCUCAGCUUUUUCUACCUUUCCAUUCCUCCUCCAGCGAGAGAGCCCUCCUGGCAAGUUACCAUUCUGGACAUGGCUGGACAAAAUUCUGGAGUUGGUACAUGACCACCUGAAGGAUCUCUGGAAUGAUGGACGCAUCAUGGGCUUUGUGAGUCGGAGCCAGGAGCGCCGGCUGCUGAAGAAGACCAUCUCUGGCACCUUUCUACUGCGCUUCAGUGAAUCGUCAGAAGGGGGCAUUACCUGCUCCUGGGUGGAGCACCAGGAUGAUGGUCAGCUGCUCUGCCCUGCCAUUCCCACAGCCUCUCCUUUCUGCCUGGCUCCCCUCUUGCCCCUCUGCCUGCCCUUGGCUUCCCUGGCUCUGUCCUGAAUCCUUCAGCUGGUUUGGGACUGGGCAGCCAGAGCAGAGAGCU
rnacentral:sRNA from 1 species